rnacentral:rRNA from 1 species
UACGAAGGGGGCUAGCGUUGCUCGGAAUCACUGGGCGUAAAGCGCACGUAGGCGGCUUUUUAAGUCAGGGUGAAAUCCUGGAGCUCAACUCCAGAACUGCCUUUGAUACUGAGAGCUUGAGUCCGGGAGAGGUGAGUGGAACUGCGAGUGUAGAGGUGAAAUUCGUAGAUAUUCGCAAGAACACCAGUGGCGAAGGCGGCUCACUGGCCCGGUACUGACGCUGAGAGUGCGAAAGCGUGGGGAGCAAACAGG